rnacentral:rRNA from 1 species
AUUGAACGCUGGCGGCAGGCCUAACACAUGCAAGUCGAGCGGAUGAAGGGAGCUUGCUCCUGGAUUCAGCGGCGGACGGGUGAGUAAUGCCUAGGAAUCUGCCUGGUAGUGGGGGAUAACGUCCGGAAACGGGCGCUAAUACCGCAUACGUCCUGAGGGAGAAAGUGGGGGAUCUUCGGACCCCACGCUAUCAGAUGAGCCUAGGUCGGAUUAGCUAGUUGGUGGGGUAAAGGCCUACCAAGGCGACGAUCCGUAACUGGUCUGAGAGGGUGAUCAGUCACACUGGAACUGAGACACGGUCCAGACUCCUACGGGAGGCAGCAGUGGGGAAUAUUGGACAAUGGGCGAAAGCCUGAUCCAGCCAUGCCGCGUGUGUGAAGAAGGUCUUCGGAUUGUAAAGCACUUUAAGUUGGGAGGAAGGGCAGUAAGUUAAUACCUUGCUGUUUUGACGUUACCAACAGAAUAAGCACCGGCUAACUUCGUG